rnacentral:rRNA from 1 species
AUUGAACGCUGGCGGAAUGCUUUACACAUGCAAGUCGAACGGCAGCACGGACUUCGGUCUGGUGGCGAGUGGCGAACGGGUGAGUAAUAUAUCGGAACGUGCCCAGUCGUGGGGGAUAACGUAGUGAAAAUUACGCUAAUACCGCAUACGAUCUAAGGAUGAAAGCGGGGGAUCGCAAGACCUCGCGCGAUUGGAGCGGCCGAUAUCAGAUUAGGUAGUUGGUGAGGUAAAGGCUCACCAAGCCAACGAUCUGUAGCUGGUCUGAGAGGACGACCAGCCACACUGGAACUGAGACACGGUCCAGACUCCUACGGGAGGCAGCAGUGGGGAAUUUUGGACAAUGGACGCAAGUCUGAUCCAGCCAUUCCGCGUGCAGGACGAAGGCCUUCGGGUUGUAAACUGCUUUGUACAGAACGAAAAGGUCUCUAUUAAUACUAGGGGCUCAUGACGGUACUGUAAGAAUAAGCACCGGCUAACUACGUGCCAGCAC